GGGUCUUGAAUCAGGGAACAAUGAAGGGCACUUGUGGGAGACGUUGGCUUUUCUUGUCGAGCCUUUCUAAUGAGUUCAGUUUCAGAUGUGUUUUUGUCUUGUUCCUCAGCUUGUCGGUUUGUUGCCUGGGAUCCUCUGGAUCCUUCCUAUGCGAUCAGUGAAAUCUGGGUUCGAUGCUAAACUAGCUAUUAAGCUCAGUGCUCCGAUUCAUGCAUGUUUACACUACAGAAACCAGUUUCGGAGCUUGUUCAGCAUAUUGAACAGUUAGAGUAUGAUAUCUAUGAAGAAAUGGUGUUCCGCAUACCAAGAUGGCUAUCCUAUCCAUUCAUCAGUCGGGUGUUACUCUACUAAUGUGGUAUUUGGUGUUUUAUCCGAUCCCAUAAAGAGUCCAAUAAGUCCAGUACACCUUAGUGUUCUGAAUCGUCGUUGGUUGAGCUGUUCCUUCGACAAUCCAAUCUGACUUUGAUGACUUCAAUUUUUGGGCAUCCUUCUGAUUAUGGGAUCUUGAAGUUUCCCGGGGGCAUCACUGUAAUCCCUGUACAAUCUGCUUCCAUCUUUCAGAUA